GACGAACGCUGGCGGCGCGCCUAACACAUGCAAGUCGAACGGAGCUGAGAGGAGCUUGCUUUUCUUAGCUUAGUGGCGAACGGGUGAGUAACGCGUGAGUAACCUGCCCUGGAGUGGGGGACAACAGUUGGAAACGACUGCUAAUACCGCAUAAGCCCACGAAGCCGCAUGGCUUUGAGGGAAAAGGAUUUAUUCGCUUCAGGAUGGACUCGCGUCCAAUUAGCUAGUUGGUGAGGUAACGGCCCACCAAGGCGACGAUUGGUAGCCGGACUGAGAGGUUGAACGGCCACAUUGGGACUGAGACACGGCCCAGACUCCUACGGGAGGCAGCAGUGGGGGAUAUUGCACAAUGGGGGAAACCCUGAUGCAGCGACGCCGCGUGGAGGAAGAAGGUUUUCGGAUUGUAAACUCCUGUCGUUAGGGACGAUAAUGACGGUACCUAACAAGAAAGCACCGGCUAACUACGUGCCAGCCGCCGCAGUAA
rnacentral:rRNA from 1 species